UACCAUGUAGUUAUAAUAAUGAUUCAUUUACAUUGAAUAGGGGGCAUUGCCUGUUGGUGG
rnacentral:tRNA from 1 species